CGAGUACCGCUGUCCACCGCCACC
rnacentral:siRNA from 1 species